GUCCUUUUGAUUAUAAUUUAAGGUCUGACCUGCCCACUGAAAUUAUUUUAAAUGGCCGCAGUAAUUUGACUGUGCAAAGGUAGCAUAAUCAUUAGUUUUUUAAUUAAAAGCUUGUAUGAAGGGUUGGACGAGAUAAAAUCUGUCUCUAUUUAAUUUAAUAUAAAAUUUAAUUUUUAAGUUAAAAAGCUUAAAUUUUUUUAAAAGACGAGAAGACCCUAUAGAUCUUUAUAGUUUUGAUUUUGAAUUUAAUUAAUAAAUUUUUAUGAUUUAUAAUUUAAACUAUUUUAUUGGGGUAAUAGAAAGAUUAAAAUAAUUCUUUUUUUCUUUAAACAUUUAUUUAUGUUUUUAAUGAUCCAAUUUUAUUGAUUAUAAGAUUAAGUUACCUUAGGGAUAACAGCGUAAUUUUUUUAGAGAGUUCUUAUCGAUAAAAAAGUUUGCGACCUCGAUGUUGGAUUAAAGAUUAGUUUAGGUGUAGAAGUUUAAAUUUUUGGUCUGUUCGACCAUUAAAUCUUUACAUGAUCUGAGUUCAGACCGGCGUAAGCCAGGUCGGUUUCUAUCUUUAAUAAUUUUAAAAUAUUUUAGUACGAAAGGACCAAAUAUUUAAUAUAUUUAUAUUUAAUUUUUUGAAUAUUAUUAAAAAUUAUUUUGGCAGAAUAGUGCAAUGAAUUUAGAAUUCAUAAAUGUAAUUUUAUUACAAAUAAUACUUGUUUUUUUUAGAUGUUAUUUUUUCUUUAGUAUGUAUAUUUUUAUUAAUUAUUUGUGUUUUAGUUGGAGUUGCUUUUUUAACAUUA
rnacentral:rRNA from 1 species